rnacentral:rRNA from 1 species
AUUGAACGCUGGCGGCAGGCCUAACACAUGCAAGUCGAGCGAGAGGCGGACGGGGGAGCAACGUCUGGGAAACCGCCUGACGGAGGGGGGCAACUACCCGAAACGGUAGCUAAUAUCGCAUACCAUCAGAUGGGCCCAGAUGGGAUUAGCUCGUAGGUGGGGUAAUGGCUCACCUAGGAGACGAUCCCACGCUGGUCUGAGAGGAUGACCAGCCACACUGGAACUGAGACACGGUCCAGCCUCCUACGGGAGGCAGCAGUGGGGAAUAGUGGACAAUGGGGGCAAACCUGAUGCAGCCAUGCCGCGUGUGUGAAGAAGGCCUUCGGGUUGUAAAGGACUUUCGGCGGGGAGGCGUUGCCCGCAGAAGAAGCACCGGCUAACUCCGUGCCAGCAGCCGCGGUAAUUC